GCCAGGCAUGGUGGUGCACGCCUGUAAUCCCAGAAGCUGGGGAGGCUGAGGCAAGAGGAUCACGAGUUCAAAGCCAGCCUCAGCAACUUAGUGAGACUCUAAGCAACUGAGGGAGACCCUGUCUCAA
rnacentral:sRNA from 1 species